rnacentral:rRNA from 1 species
CCUACGGGGGGCUGCAGUGGGGAAUAUUGGACAAUGGGGGCAACCCUGAUCCAGCCAUGCCGCGUGUGUGAAGAAGGCCCUCGGGUUGUAAAGCACUUUCAGUGAGGAAGAACGCCUGGUGGUUAAUACCCAUCAGGAAAGACAUCACUCACAGAAGAAGCACCGGCUAACUCCGUGCCAGCAGCCGCGGUAAUACGGAGGGUGCGAGCGUUAAUCGGAAUUACUGGGCGUAAAGCGCGCGUAGGUGGCUUGAUAAGCCGGUUGUGAAAGCCCCGGGCUCAACCUGGGAACGGCAUCCGGAACUGUCAAGCUAGAGUGCAGGAGAGGAAGGUAGAAUUCCCGGUGUAGCGGUGAAAUGCGUAGAGAUCGGGAGGAAUACCAGUGGCGAAGGCGGCCUUCUGGACUGACACUGACACUGAGGUGCGAAAGCGUGGGUAGCAAACAGGAUUAGAUACCCCUGUUGUC